rnacentral:rRNA from 1 species
UACGGAGGGUGCAAGCGUUAUCCGGAUUUACUGGGUUUAAAGGGUGCGUAGGUGGGUUGGUAAGUCAGUGGUGAAAUACUUUCGCUUAACGAAGGAACUGCCAUUGAUACUAUCAAUCUUGAAUGUAGUGGAGGUAGGCGGAAUGCGUCAUGUAGCGGUGAAAUGCUUAGAUAUGACGCAGAACACCAAAUUGCGAAGGCAGCUUGCUACACUACUAUUGACACUGAGGCACGAAAGC